GACGAACGCUGGCGGCGUGCUUAACACAUGCGAGUCGAACGGAAAGGCCCUGCUUUUGUGGGGUGCUCGAGUGGCGAACGGGUGAGUAACACGUGAGUAACCUGCCCUUGACUUUGGGAUAACUUCAGGAAACUGGGGCUAAUACCGGAUAGGAGCUCCUGCUGCAUGGUGUGGGUUGGAAAGUUUCGGCGGUUGGGGAUGGACUCGCGGCUUAUCAGCUUGUUGGUGGGGUAGUGGCUUACCAAGGCUUUGACGGGUAGCCGGCCUGAGAGGGUGACCGGCCACAUUGGGACUGAGAUACGGCCCAGACUCCUACGGGAGGCAGCAGUGGGGAAUAUUGCACAAUGGGCGGAAGCCUAAUGCAGCAACGCCGCGUGCGGGAUGACGGCCUUCGGGUUGUAAACCGCUUUCGCCUGUGACGAAGCGUGAGUGACGGUAAUGGGUAAAGAAGCACCGGCUAACUACGUG
rnacentral:rRNA from 1 species